UACGUAGGGUGCAAGCGUUGUCCGGAAUUAUUGGGCGUAAAGAGCUCGUAGGCGGUCUGUCGCGUUUUGCUGUGAAAACUCAGGGCUUAACCCUGAGCUUGCAGUGGGUACGGGCAGACUAGAGUGCGGUAGGGGAGACUGGAAUUCCUGGUGUAGCGGUGAAAUGCGCAGAUAUCCGGAGGAACACCGGUGGCGAAGGCGGGUCUCUGGGCCGUAACUGACGCUGAGGAGCGAAAGCAUGGGGAGCGAACAGG
rnacentral:rRNA from 1 species